rnacentral:rRNA from 1 species
UACGUAUGGUGCAAGCGUUAUCCGGAUUUACUGGGUGUAAAGGGCGUGUAGGCGGGACUGCAAGUCAGAUGUGAAAACCAUGGGCCCAACCCAUGGCCUGCAUUUGAAACUGUAGUUCUUGAGUGAUGGAGAGGCAGGCGGAAUUCCGUGUGUAGCGGUGAAAUGCGUAGAUAUACGGAGGAACACCAGUGGCGAAGGCUGCCUGCUGGACAUUAACUGACGCUGAGGCUCGAAAGUGUGGGGAGCAAACAGG